rnacentral:rRNA from 1 species
UACGUAGGGCGCAAGCGUUGUCCGGAAUUAUUGGGCGUAAAGAGCUCGUAGGCGGUCUGUCACGUCUGCCGUGAAAACCCGAGGCUUAACCUCGUGGCUUGCGGUGGGAUACGGGCAGACUAGAGGUAGGUAGGGGAGAACGGAAUUCCCGGUGUAGCGGUGGAAUGCGCAGAUAUCAGGAGGAACACCGGUGGCGAAGGCGGGUCUCUGGGCAGUAACUGACACUGAGGAGCGAAAGCGUGGGGAGCGAACAGG